rnacentral:rRNA from 1 species
GACGAAGGGGGCUAGCGUUGUUCGGAAUUACUGGGCGUAAAGCGCGUGUAGGCGGUUGUGCAAGUCAGGUGUGAAAGCCUUGAGCUCAACUCAAGAAAUGCACUUGAUACUGGAUGACUAGAGGGCCGGAGAGGAUAGUGGAAUUCCCAGUGUAGUGGUGAAAUACGUAGAGAUUGGGAAGAACACCAGUGGCGAAGGCGGGUCUCUGGGCCGUAACUGACGCUGAGGAGCGAAAGCAUGGGGAGCGAACAGG